CACAUUAUAAAUAGCACUUUGAGUCUUAACAGUUAUAACAAGGAAAAAUCCACUUACCUCUUGGAGAGACAUGUUGUGUGAUUGACUGGACUAGCUAACCUAAAAACACACCAAAAAUACUAAAUUCUACACGUCAAAACCCGGUUUGCAGGUUGCUUCUACAAUCAAAUUUAGCUAAAAUUACACUUCAAAAAUAACCUAUCAAGUAAUUACUGCAAUUUCAUGGCGAUUAUCAAGUGUGAAA